GGAGAUAUAGUUCAGUUGGUAGAAUGCUUGUCUUGCAAGGCCCUGGGUUCAAUCCCCAGUACAACA
rnacentral:tRNA from 1 species